CCCCUGCACUGGCAGGCGGACUCUCAACCAGUGCGCCACCAGGGAAGCCCACAUUUGGCCUUUUAAAGAGAAGACUAGUGCUUAAGAGACAGAAGCAGAGACAGAGGGACGUGCCAUAGCUCUCUUCAAAUAUUUCCAAGUCUCUUAGUGGGGGUUAGAUGUGUUCAUGUAGCCCCCAAGGACGGCAUUAGGACCAAGGGUCAGAAUGAACAUGGGGAAAUACUUUAGAAUAUUGUUAACAAUUUACUGGUGUCCAACAAAGAUCUGGGCUGCCAGAGGUGGUAGUGAGGUCCCCGUCACUGGCUGUAUGCAAGCAUACAUGGGAUGAUUGCCUGUCAGGAAUACUGCAGAGGAGAGUUCUACCCUGGAUGAAGUGUUGGUGCUCUUAGGCCCCUUUUACCCCCCAUAACCUAAGGGUCUUCCAGAGGUGGGGCAGGGCUCCCUGGGGGUUGGCUGUUAAGCAGCACCCAUUUCUGGUCAGUGGAGGUGGCUGUGAUCCUCCACCAGGCUCCCCAGUAUGCUUUUGAGGCGCAUCCUGUGCUAGCAUUGUCCCCAUCAUGCCAUCAAGCGGUCCUGCCCUCCACAGCUGUUCAGGCCUGGCUGGAGAUGCUACAAGGCCAGCAGCUGUACCCCCAAGAGCCCGGCCGCCCCCCUGCCUGCCCUGCCUGCCCUCUGCUGGGCUUUGGGAAGGAGCCCGGGUAAGUUAAGCUGGCUCUUCCUGGGGCCGGGUGAGGGGCUGGAAGUGGGUCCUCCUAGUCCAGCUCUCAGCGUGCUGCGGCUGUCCUCAACGUAGCUGGCUCACUGCCUCAGGCCCUCCAGCCCAGCCUCUGGAUCCCACUGUCCUGUGAUUAGCCCCUGGUCUCCUGCAGGCGUCUUGGCCGGAGCUUGUGUUUUUGUUGACUUGCAAGCCGUCAACAGCAGGCUUCCGCUCUCAUAAGCUGCUGAAAACAUCAGUGAUGGGUUGGUUUGUAUUUGCAUAAUUAGGCAGCGAGCCGUGAUGCUAUCCCAAAGACUGGCAGUAUCUUCGCAAAGCACAGGCCCAGAAGCACAGAUUCUGAGGAAGUUCUAGCUCCUUCCACAGCAUCAAUACUCUCUCUUGCUACUCCCAGGGGAGGCAAAGUUAUUGGAAGUCUGGGUUCUACAGACAAAUUGCCUGGGUUCCAAUGUCAGCUCUAUCACUGCCUAGCUCUGUUGUCUUGGGUAAGUUACUUUAACUCCUUUGCCUUUCCAUUUCCUUGUCAGUAAAGUGGGGGCAGUGCUAGUACCUCACAGAGUUAUGGUGAAGAUCAGAUAGGAUAAUCUAUGUAAAGUACCUGGCAUUCAGUAAGUAGUCUAUAAAUGCUAGUUUAAAUGAACAUAACAAUGACAUAGGGUAGCCAGAGAGGUCCCUGUUUUGAGGAGGGUCUAAGGGCUUUUGGGGUUAGGAGCCAGGGUCCCAUGCAUUGGGAUUGGGUAUUUGUUUGAAUCAAUUUCUUUCUCAGCUGUGAUUUUAUUUACCUGCCAAAUAAAGGGGAAAAGCCUUCUUUUUCUACCCGUGGAUGAUUGUAGAUUUAUGAGAUAAUGUCUGAGAAAUAUUUGAGCUUCUUAGAAGAAAAAUGUUCCAUCAGUAUGAGGGAGUGUAUUUAUAAAUCACUUCUGUCGACUGUUUUUUCCAGCUUUGGUGACCAGAAAGGUAGUAAGGUCUUCAGUUAAGGCAUCAUUUCUGGUAGGCUGGAUGGGGCUACACAUUUAAAAUAGAAGCGGGCAGAGCUGUGGCAGGCUGAAACCCCAUAACACGGGCCCCAGCUCCCCCACAGUGUUAGGUGCUCGGCAAAUACUUCCUGAACUGAAUUGAGAUCUAUUACACUCACUUUCUUAUCAGGCAAGCAAACAGUGUUUAUUGAGCAUACAUUUGUCAUUAUUGUCAUGAUGCUAUUUUGGGACAAGUGAUCAAAUACAGAGAAAACACGUUACCAAGAGUUUGAGUUUAUUGGCUCUGCAAGGAGAGGGCUGACCUUCUUUCUGUCAAUGGAGUCAAGUUGGAGAGGAAACGGAUCCCAGUUCAUCAGAUCCCAUUGCCCUCCAGCACUUAGCAGGACCCAAUGCUGGAUCCCGGAAAGCCAUUCAUGGAAGUGGAUGCCAGAGGGUCAGUUAUCCAUGCAGCGAUGACCCCUCUAUGAACCAUCCAUGGUGACCUGGGACUUCCUCUUCACCGACCCAACAAGACCCCAGUCCCUGAUGGAAGCUGAAAGCCACUGACCGGGAACCCAGAGAGCUUCCUUAACCAGCAGCAGUGCUGGGCCAGCUCAGAGCCUCGUGGAGCGUGAAGGACUCGGUUUGGGAAGAUCGUAUUAUUCCCCCAGUUCCUCUGCGGUUUCUUCGCGUUUUCAAUCUACUUGGCUCCCUUUAAUGGCUGGAAGGAGGCAAGAACAGCACUUAACUUGUGACUUAAGUGGGGAACACAUGUCGGACCAGGAGAAGGAACACUUACUUCUGGAAAGCUGACUUUAUAACGAAGCCAUCGUAUUCAGGGAUGGCGCACAGCAGUGUCACCGGCUGCCCCGAUACCACAGCCUGGUCCUGGGGCUGCUGGCUGAAGGAGUACACUUGACCUAGGAAGGAAACAAAUGCAACGGUCAGUUACUUGCCGGAAGGGCUUCCCCUCGAGCAAUGGAAGCAGAGCCCAGGCUGCCCUGGGGGACAAGGACCCCCAGAGCACCUCCCUACCUGCCUGGGGCCCAGCUGCUGCUUCUUCACUGCCCCCAGCUCCACCCCUGCUUGCAGGAGCUGGCCCCGGCUGCAGGCUCCCUGCCCAUCAAUCCCCAGCGCACUCAUGCUGUGGUCCAGCCAUCCUCCAGCCCCCAAAACGGGCCAUGUACUACUGCACUUGGCACGUGUUACUCCUCUUUCCCCUUAACGCCGCUUCCUGGUGCCUACUUCCACAAGGGGGCAGAGGCAGGAGAGAGACCCCCAGUUGGAAGCACUCCGGGGGGGCGGGGUGUGCUUCAAGAGGGCAACAGGCAUAGGGCGUGGUGUGCUUUGGUUAAACCUGAGAAUCCAAGAAAUAUCAAUAAUAUCAUAGUUUUAGUGGCUCCCAGGAUGGGACUAGGGCCAAACUUGGCGGGGUGAGGGGUGGUGUAGUGUGAGGGAUGGUGGGGUUGAGUGAGCAGGUAAUCGUCUCCUGUCCCUUUCUUUUCUGCAGCAGACCCUGCGCCAGCCUCUCUGUCACUGGGAGCAAAUCAUCAGUGUGAACCCACACCUGCCCAUACACACCUCCCUGAACCAUCUAAGGUCCCUAUGUCUCAUCCUGGAGGGAUUGCUGAAGAAGGGGGGUGAUGUGACCCACGUUCCCUGGGAGGCCACAGCUGAAUGGACAACAGGACAUGGGACAUUGACAUCCACUGAGCUCCCGGCCCACAGUACCAUCUGUGCUUCCCAUGCUGUCCCUCCUGUAACCGUGUAAUUACACUUCAGAGCAGGACUAUUCCCAUUUUAUACCAAAGACACCCAGAUCAGAGAGGCAAAGUAACCUGCCCAAGGUCACACAGCUAAUGAGUGGGGUCUGACCUGGGGCUCAUGACGUCUAAGCCUGUAUUCUUUCCUACCGCCUGCUCUGCAGAUACACAGCCGAGGAAAACAGGACCUGGUGGGCAGGCUGCCCCUCCACCUGGAGAGAGUCAGAGGUGGCCACAGAGGUCCUGGACACCGGCUGCUGUCCAACUUGGGGACACAGAGCCCCAGGCUUUGACCAUGGUUAGGGCCAAGCUCUCAGCAGCAGAUGGCCCUAAGAAGGGAGCCACUGGUGUGUGGCUCCAAGGGGCACUGAGGAUGGCAGUGGAGGAGAGACAGAGGUCCACACUGGAGAGUUUGUGGCAGGCGGGAAGGUAGCUGAGUUUUCAACCUGAUGAGAUCUUGGCUGGGUCUCUGAGGCAUCUCAUUAAAAAUCAGAUUGGCCCUGAAUUGUGAGAGUAACACUUUUUAUUCUGAUCUGAGCUUUAUAAAUUAGAUUUCAUAGGACAUUAUCGUCAGCUGUGUGUGGUGGGGUGGGAUUUUUUUUUUCUUCCUUUCUGUCUCUUCAAGUUCCCUGUUGUAAUUAGACUGUUUCUGGCACCAAAACAAGAGAGAGAAGGAGGGAAGAGAUGAGAGGAGAAAGGGAGGGA